rnacentral:misc_RNA from 1 species
UACGUAGGUGGCAAACGUUAUCCGGAGUUACUGGGCGUAAAGGGUCCGCAGGCGGGGCGUUAAGUCCGGCGUGAAAGCUCCCGGCUCAACUGGGAGAGGACGUCGGAAACUGGCGCUCUUGAAUCUCGCAGAGGUCGGUGGAAUUCCCGGUGUAGUGGUGGAAUGCGUAGAGAUCGGGAGGAACCCCGAAAGCGAAGGCAGCCGGCUGGGCGAAGAUUGACGCUGAGGGACGAAAGCGUGGGGAGCGAACAGG